CCUACGGGUGGCAGCAGUGGGGAAUAUUGGACAAUGGGGGCAACCCUGAUCCAGCCAUGCCGCGUGUGUGAAGAAGGCCCUCGGGUUGUAAAGCACUUUCAGUGAGGAAGAACGCCUGGUGGUUAAUACCCAUCAGGAAAGACAUCACUCACAGAAGAAGCACCGGCUAACUCCGUGCCAGCAGCCGCGGUAAUACGGAGGGUGCGAGCGUUAAUCGGAAUUACUGGGCGUAAAGCGCGCGUAGGUGGCUUGAUAAGCCGGUUGUGAAAGCCCCGGGCUCAACCUGGGAACGGCAUCCGGAACUGUCAAGCUAGAGUGCAGGAGAGGAAGGUAGAAUUCCCGGUGUAGUGGUGAAAUGCGUAGAGAUCGGGAGGAAUACCAGUGGCGAAGGCGGCCUUCUGGACUGACACUGACACUGAGGUGCGAAAGCGUGGGUAGCAAACAGGAUUAGAUACCCCGGUAGUC
rnacentral:rRNA from 1 species